UACGAAGGGGGGCUAGCGUUGCUCGGAAUGACUGGGCGUAAAGGGCGCGUAGGCGGUUUGUACAGUCAGGUGUGAAAUUCCCGGGCUCAACCUGGGGGCUGCACUUGAUACGUAUGGACUGGAGUGGGGAAGAGGGUCGCGGAAUUCCCGGUGUAGAGGUGAAAUUCGUAGAUAUCGGGAGGAACACCGGUGGCGAAGGCGGCGACCUGGGUAGAUACUGACGCUGAGGUGCGAAAGCGUGGGGAGCGAACAGG
rnacentral:rRNA from 1 species